rnacentral:rRNA from 1 species
GCAGCCAUAUCACUCUGCAACUCACAACUGGCAACCCACUGAAGCUUAGCAGGUGUGAGCCUGGUCAAUACCUGGAUGGGAGACCUCAUCGGGAAAACUAAGGUUGCUGCAGGAA